GCAUAACGCGAAGAACCUUACCAGCCCUUGACAUGCCGGUCGCGGACAUUGGAGACGAUGUCCUUCAGUUAGGCUGGACCGGACACAGGUGCUGCAUGGCUGUCGUCAGCUCGUGUCGUGAGAUGUUGGGUUAAGUCCCGCAACGAGCGCAACCCUCGCCCUUAGUUGCCAGCAUUUGGUUGGGCACUCUAAGGGGACUGCCGGUGAUAAGCCGAGAGGAAGGUGGGGAUGACGUCAAGUCCUCAUGGCCCUUACGGGCUGGGCUACACACGUGCUACAAUGGUGGUGACAGUGGGCAGCGAGACAGCGAUGUCGAGCUAAUCUCCAAAACAUCUCUCAGUUCGGAUUGUAGUCUGCAACUCGACUACAUGAAGCUGGAAUCACUAGUAAUCGUAGAUCAGCAUGCUGCGGUGAAUACGUUCCCGGGUCUUGUACACACCGGAGGUCGGUGGGGAGGGCAA
rnacentral:rRNA from 1 species